UGCAGACUAAACAAGCCCAGGUCCCUCAGCCUCUCCUGUUGUACUGAAAUCCAUCCAAUGCGAGACAGGCAGCUGGAAGCGUGAUUUUGUGCAGACACAUCUCAGCUGAAUCUACUGGCUGAAGUUGGGAUGUGAACUGCCAUUCAACAAGAUCUUCACACAAAGGAACAAACAGGCAGUGGAGUCACAGGCAUGGAAUUGCAAAAUCUGGAAGGAAUUGAAGCAGUUGUUACACUGCAUGUCAUUUAGUUCGUGUUUCACAUCAGGAAGAUUGGGUAGUGAACAUGCAGGUGUAAUAAAUUUAUUUCCAAAAUGUUUCUUAAAAGCUUCAGUAUCAGCAGUUCUGAACUAAGUAGUUCCCCCCCUUGAACAGAAGACUAUGAACUUCAAUUCCAUCUCAAGGAACAAUUUUAUUACAACAUGAAACUUUUUCUGAAUAUAUUCAUACCAAGACCAGUGUUCAGUACAAUACAGGAAGACAAGGUCCUGUUUACUUUUAAGACAUUUUCCAUAAAAAUCCUUUGAAUACAACUUCUGAAAUGAGUUUUAUUCUUACAUAAUAGUUCUUCAGCCACUGUCUUGUUGAGACCCUUUUACACCUGCUCAGUGUAAAGGAGAUGCCCAUUUUUAAGUUUUUUCAAAACAACAAUGCUAACUUCCUGAGUGGUUAAUAGAGAAGGCAGAGGAAGCAAGCAGAAAACCUAUCCUAAAUAAGCGAGAUUAAA